rnacentral:lncRNA from 1 species
ACGUGCAUCAAUGCCAGCAGAGCGGUGAAGUGCCUCAUCCCACUCUAUCAGAGCUUCUACGAAGAGCGAGCGCUGUAUCUGGAAGCAAUAAUUCAAAACCACCGGGAAGUCAUGACAUUUGAGGAUUUCGCUGCCCAAGUCUUUUCUCCCUCUCCCAGCUACUCUCUCAGUGGAACGGAUUAAAAUACAUAAUGGUCUCAUUGCGAUACUUGAGCAAGGGGUCUUGACCUCCAACCUGAGUGUGGACCCCAAGAAAAGCCUCCAUGUGGAAGAGACAGGCAAGACUCCCCUGAUUUCCUCAGAACCUCAGAAUCCAGACUUCAGGAAUCUGCCACUGUACCCGCACGUGCAGCAGGCUUUCUCAUGGCUGGGCCCCAGCGUCUUCCGACGGAUCUGUGGAACCUUCAAACAAUGCAGCAUCCCUCUUGUCCUGGAAUCUCACCAAACCCUGGGCAUC